ensembl:snRNA U2 U2 spliceosomal RNA
AUCGCUUCUCGGCCUUUUGGCUAAGAUCAAGUGUAGUAUCUGUUAAGUGCCUCACCUCUGAGGGUUUAGGGGAGAGGUGAAUGAGGGUACUUGUGUUAAGUGUCUCACCUCCG